rnacentral:rRNA from 1 species
GAUCAUGCUCAGGACGAACGCUGGCGGCGUGCUUAACACAUGCAAGUCGAACGGAAAGGCCCUGCUUUUGUGGGGUGCUCGAGUGGCGAACGGGUGAGUAACACGUGAGUAACCUGCCCUUGACUUUGGGAUAACUUCAGGAAACUGGGGCUAAUACCGGAUAGGAGCUCCUGCUGCAUGGUGGGGGUUGGAAAGUUUCGGCGGUUGGGGAUGGACUCGCGGCUUAUCAGCUUGUUGGUGGGGUAGUGGCUUACCAAGG